rnacentral:misc_RNA from 1 species
CAGAGUUGCAAAACUCCCAACCCAUUGUGAAUCCUACCUGUUUAGUUGCUUCGGCAGGCGGCCCCAGGGCGGGGUAUUUAGCCUGUUUUUACAGGCGUCUGCCGGAGGAUUUUAAAAACUCUUUAAUGCUUUUAGUGGCUCUCUGAGUUAAAAGACAAAAUAAGUCA